rnacentral:misc_RNA from 1 species
AGUCUUUUGGUGCUCUCUCCGUCGCGUAAUUUCUCUGUCUUUUCUUCGCUGCAUUUCUUCAUCUCUGUAAGGUUUAGUUUCCAGUUUAAUUUUGGAUUCCAUUUCGCGAUCUUCGAUAACGAUCGCGAUUUUUGUUUGUUGUGAGAAUUCAUCGAACUACGAUUUGUAGAAGAAGAUUUAGAGUUCAAUCGAUGGAGGCCGAUUCAUGGAAUGUUCCCUUUCAAGUUUCGUCUUCGCGACGCUACCGAUCUCGGUCCGGCGUGUACCAAGGAGAUCAUGAAGAAAUUGAAGAGGAAAACUCGAGAGCUGAAUUUUUAUGUCCGUUUUGCGCCGAGGAUUUUGAUAUCGUAGGUCUUUAUUGUCAUGUCGACGAGGAGCACCCGGUGGAAGUCAAGAACGCGGUAUGUCCACUAUGCACGAAGAAAGUGGGGAUGGAUAUUGUUGGCCACAUCAUCUCACAACAUGGGAGCCUUUUCAAGGUGCAGCGACAUAGGAGAUUGCGGAAAAUUGGAUCCAAUUUGACAUUUUCGAAGCUGAGGAAAGAGCUUAGGGAAGGAACCUUGAGAUCCCUUCUUGGUGGUUCUUUACACUCUGCCCCCACAAGUACUGAACCUGAUCCAUUGUUGUUUUCAUUUACUUCUAAUCUGCCUACUGUCAGUAAACCUACCAGAGUGCAGUCGCAGUCGUCAACUGAAGUAAUUUCGUCACUAGAAAAUCCCAAGGUUUUUCCGGAGAGGAGCAAUGUCUCAAGGUUGCCGGCUUCAAAUAAGGAUGAAAAGGAGAAGGCUCAGAAAUGUGAGUUUGUACAAGGCCUGUUGAUGUCUACUAUUCUUGAUGAGUUAUGAUUGGUUAUAGGUUCGUCGGAAGAGGAGACCUCGCCAGUUAAAGUACGGAACCAUGAGUGUAGGUCGUUGGGAUGGAUCGGUCUGAUUUGAAUAUUGCAGCAGGUGGCACGGCAAUAGUUAUUAGGUAAUGUAAACUAUGGAAUGUUCUAUUAUCCAAAAAGUAUAUAUGUGCAUAAAUGGAAAGAUGGAAGUUCUUAUUUUAUCAACAUUUAGUAUUAUUAUAUGAUAAUGCAACUCUUAAUCAUAGAUAACUGUCCCGAUCCCCUAGAAUUU